UACAGAGGUCUCAAGCGUUGUUCGGAUUCAUUGGGCGUAAAGGGUGCGUAGGCGGCGCGGUAAGUCGGGUGUGAAAUCUCGGAGCUUAACUCCGAAACUGCAUUCGAUACUGCCGUGCUUGAGGACUGGAGAGGAGACUGGAAUUUACGGUGUAGCGGUGAAAUGCGUAGAUAUCGUGAGGAAGACCAGUUGCGAAGGCGGGUCUCUGGACAGCUCCUGACGCUGAGGCACGAAGGUCAGGGGAGCAAACGGG
rnacentral:rRNA from 1 species